rnacentral:lncRNA from 1 species
GAUAGAUAGUAAAUGGCAAGUGGUUCUCAUGCAAUCUAAAGCCAUCAGUUACGCCUGUAAUCCCAGCACUUUGGGAGGCUAAGGCAGGCGGAUCACCUGAGGUCGGGAGUUCCAGACCAGCCUGACCAACAUGGAGAAACCCCCAUCUCCACUAAAAAUACAAAAAAUUAGCUGGGCAUGGUGGUGCAUGCCUGUAAUCCCAGCUAUUUGGGGGGCUGAGGCAGGAGAAUCACUUGAAUCCAGGAGGUGGAGGUUGCGCCACUGUACUGCAGCCUGGGCAACAAGAGCAAACAACCAUAUUUAGUAUACAGUAUAUUUUUUAUAUGUUAUUCCAAAAAAGGAAAUUACAAUAUAUUCAGUAGACUCAGUAUCUUUUAAGAGAGACUGUCCUUUCUAAGAUGUCAAAUCCUUGUGGAACAGCACAUUAAAAGGUGGUUCUCUCCUGCAGGUGAUUUUGUCUCUUGAGGGAUUUCUGGUUGUCACAAGUUGGGGGUAGUGCUACUGGCAUCUAGUGUGUAGAAGUCAAGUAUGGUGAGAAACAUCC